rnacentral:lncRNA from 1 species
UUUAAGAGUGUCUUAACGAUUCUUUUACUUAGGCGAUUUAGCUUUGUUAUAACUUUAAUUUUUUUUCAUAAAAAUAAAUAAAUAAAUAAAUUAAAACACAAGGGAUGCUCUUCAUUUUAUAAUUAAAAAAACCAAAACAAAAAAAAACAUACAAAUCAACUCAACCAAACAACCAACAACAACAUCAAAAAAGAAGCUACAAACCUACCCCUAAUAAACACCGGGAUCGGAACAUCAGUCAGACCUAGAAAUGUUCCUCCCUUUUCGAAUAAAAGCAU